CUUUAUGGCUGCGGUGCGCAGGGCGCUUUUCAGCGCGCCGGGUUUGCCUCGGUUCCCGGUUGACCAACCUGUGUCACAGUCGCCACCCAU
rnacentral:antisense_RNA from 1 species